UACUAGUGACGCCUAGUAGUAUGUAGUGAUAAUUUAGCAAAAUAGAAGAAUGAACUUCUAGGUACAGUUACCAUGUGAUACAAUUCUUCUAUCAUGAGUCCCGACUAGAAGGAGGUCAUGAAAAACUUAUCAAACUCCAUCGUCAGUCAUAUACUUGAUUGACUCGAUUCGAGUUUAUAUGUGAAUAUCAUGAAAUUUUUUUCAGUAUUCACACUUGUUCUGGCCAGAGACUUCCUGAACUCAGUCUCACGAAUCGAAUAAGAUUACUUUUCUACCGAGAUCGAUAGAUUUUAUCUAGGUGCAUCUUACUCCAAACAGCAAAUUUGAACACACUGUAGCCAACAU
rnacentral:lncRNA from 1 species